rnacentral:rRNA from 1 species
AGUGAACGCUGGCGGCGUGCUUAACACAUGCAAGUCGAACGAGAACGGAUUAUAGCUUGCUAUAAUUGUCAGCUAAGUGGCGCACGGGUGAGUAAUGUAUAGGUAAUAUGCCUCUUACUAAGGGAUAACAAAUGGAAACGUUUGCUAAUACCUUAUACUCCUUAUUAACAGAAGUUAAUAAGGGAAAGAUUUAUUGGUAAGAGAUUAGCCUGUAUUGUAUCAGUUAGUUGGUGGGGUAAUGGCUUACCAAGACUAUGACACAUAACUGGUUUGUAGAGGAUGAUCAGCCACACUGGGACUGAGAC